rnacentral:tRNA from 1 species
CGGGGCGUGGCUCAGCCCGGCUAGAGCGCGCGGUUCGGGUCCGCGAGGUCCCGAGUUCAAAUCUCGGCGCCCCGA